GGUGAGGCGGCGGGGCCCCGCCGCGCCUCGCUGCCUGCCAUGGGGACGCCGCCGGUCUGCAGCAGCCGAGGGGCUGCCGGGGCAGGGAAGCUGCGGUGAGUCCCUGCCGUAGGUCCCUGCGCCCUCCUGGGCACUGAGAGGGGCAGGAGACCCAUGAGGGGCUGAAUCCCCCAGCGGGGUGUGUGUCUCUGUGUUGAACGUUUCUGUCAGCUGAAUAAACUCGGGUGUUCACCUCGGUUUCCCCACACGUUUUCGUGCUGAAGCUGAAUCCUAGUUAAAGAGGAGCACACUUGAAAAUGAAUUUAAGGUGUGUGAAAGGUGCGUGACUGACAGUUCUGGAAAUUGAACUCCCAUGUUUAAUCCCAGACUAGGUCCUGAAGCUGUGAGCAGACAUGGAGGAUGUGAUACUAUCCUUCAAAGUGGACAUGAACUAGAUGAUCAGAAACUGUGUAAGUUCCAGGCUUCCAGGAAUGGGUGCCUAAGUCAGCAAUGCUAAUGAGCAAAACAAAGUAAAUUUAUGUUCCUGAAGCUGUGGGCCCUCUCCUGACAACCUAUCUGCAAGAGUUCAGUUAUGAAUCUUUGAAAUGUCAAACUUCCAUGCUCAGCUGGAAUUGACUUGGAAGUUUGAAGCACUGGUGGGUAUGGUUCUUGAGAAAUAAUGCAUCCACAGUGCUAAGACAUCAUGAUCUCUGCUCUUCACCGUCUGUUGUCUUUUCCUGACCUGUCCUCCCUCCCCCCCAGUGUUCAUUUAUAGUGACCUAUACUAAAUAACAGCUGUCUUUCAGCUUCCAUGAGAUGUCUUUUUUACAGUGGUGAAAGAGGAAUGCCCUUUGCCAUGUUAUGGCUUCAGAAGGCUUGCUGGGAAGCUCAGUACUGUCUUGUUAUGAUCUGACUCAGAAUGCCUUCCCCUUACUCUCCCACGACACUUCUAAAAAGAAAAACUCCUCCCCCUCUUUAAGAAAUAAUGCUGGUAAAAGUUGUAAACAAAACGGUCUGCCUUGUACUUUUUCUCAUUCAUAGCUAAUCUCUGGAGCCUUUUGCUGGCUCCAUCAUCCCAUCUCUUUAGUCCUGGGCAGGUGGAAAACCUGUCAUUGUUCUUAGGGGGAAGAGAUGGGUGGAAGCCGCAACCACAUUCUCCCCAUUAAAAUGAAGGAACAUUGCCCUUGGCCAAGUUCUUUUUACUGUCAUUCCAAUUGUGCAUUAUGUUUUUCUGGGAAAGUUGGCUUCGAGUGCAACUGGCAGAAGUUUUUGCCUAUGUGUUCCUUGCCAAAGGAUGUGCAGGCUGCUUGGCUUCUUCAGACAGUGAGGAACCAGGACCCUCCAUCCCACCUUGCAUGGAGCUUAGCAAGGAACUAAUGGUGGUGGAACUCUUGGAAGAACUGGCUUUUUGUGUGUAUUGAUUUCCAUCCCGAAAAUGGCAGAACUAGUAGCACUCAUUGCUUUGGGUUUUGGCGCUUGGCUGUCAAACAUGCUGUGAGUUGUAAUGGAAAUACAUGCAACUGCUCUUGCUAGUGUGGAAAUGUCAGUACCUAAUAGCAUAGGGAGCUCGCAUCAGUUUUGCCACAAGUGUGUGCACUACAAUGAUAUCCCUCCUUUAGCUUGCUGUUUGUUUUCAUGAAACUUGUAAGAAUUGUUGUGUUCCGUUGCUUUUGCUGUUCCAGGUUUAAUUAAAAUUGGCUACUGCUUCUCAGAUUUUUUAGGGGGAGCAAAUGGUGGCAGUGAUGGACAGGCACACAAACAUUUGCACAGUAUGAUCACACAAAUCUUAUUUUCUUGUGCGUUCUUUUUCCUUUUUCUGAAGCCAAAAUGUUUCUGAAUUUGGCAUGAAUUUCUGGAGAGUUGGCCUGAAACUGCAAUUUCUUUGGCAAAUUGACUAUUAAAAGAAUUUCUCAACGUUCCAUCCAGUGGCCCUGGUUACUCCUGAGCAUGGGUUGGUAAACAGCUUGGAGAAGGGAGUCUUUUUCAUUGCACCACCCAGGCAUACAACUCAUGUUAUAGGGUAGUUCAAAGUGCCUUCCUGUCUCAGAUUGGAGGCAAGGGUACCAAGACAGCAAGCAUACUAAAAAAAAGACUGUCAACUUUUGUGCCUCCUGCAAUUAUUAAUUCAUUUUUAUUCAUUUUAUUUCAUCUGAAGAGUUAUACAGUUGGACAGUAUGACAGAGAAAUAGGACAAAAAAUUGUUGCAUUUAAAAACAAAAUCUACAUCAAGAUCACUAAUGUAUAGUGAAAACAAGAUCUUCCUCUAUUCUUUCUUAUAUCAUGAGUACUUGACGAUAUUAAAUAGAAUAAAUGUGGAUCCAAUAAAAGGAAAUAUUACUUUUAUUUAGUGUCUGGUAAGCCUAUUUAAUUCAGUGUCAAGGAAGGUUACAAAGAUUAAUAUUGCAGCUGAUAGUUCUAAAGGGCUAAAUAAUUUUAUGACCAAUAACACUUCUAGCUCCUUAAGCUAAAUGAAAUCUUAUGCCUCAAAACGUAUGUUGACAGCAAACCUCUCUUCACUAUUCUUUUCUUCUACUUUGUAUAAAUGGUGAGAUUUUGUCUUCAAGGUGCUUCCUGCUGUAAAGCACUAACUAAAAGCAGGACUUCAGGAUGAAUUGCUAAAAGAAACUUUGUACUUCCAUAGAUCCUGUACAUUGCUAUAUUGCAUGCACGAGA